ensembl:lncRNA
UAUAUUAUGUUACAUGGCAAAAGGAACUCUAUAGAUGUAAUUAAGGUUACUCAUCAGCUGACCUUAAAUAGGGAGAUUAUCCUGGUUUAUCCAGGGUGGGCCCAAUGGGAUCACAUGAGCCCUUAAAAGCAGAGAAUUUGGAAGAGGAAGAGAGAUGGCAGAAGGGGAAGUCAUAGGGAGCUGAAGCAUGAGAAGGACACAGUGGACUGUUGCUGUUGUAAAGAUGGAGGGGACAAGGUGGUGGAGAAUACAGGCAGCAUCUAGGAGCUGUGAACAACCCACAGCUGACAGCGAGGAAACUGGGACCUCAGUCCUGGAACCCCGAGGAACUGGAUUCUGCCAACCACCUGAAUGAACCUAGAUGCGAUUCUCUCUCAGGAUCUCCAGAUGAAAGCCCGGGAUGGCCAGCACCUUAAUUUUGGCCUUGUGAGACCAUGAGCACAGUAACCAGCUGAGCCCACUUUGACUUCUGAACCACACAACUCCGAGAUAAUAAAUUUGCAUUGUCUUCAGCUGCUAACUUUGGGUCAGGCUGUUACAGCAGCGAUAGAAAACUAGUAUAGCAGGCACCAGAAGGUGCAGGACUCAUGAUAAAGUUGGCGUUAUCUGCACAGGUGAAUAAAAUAUUGCGUUAGGAGAGGGAACACAUGAUUUCAAUGGAACGAGUAGAUGAGGAAAAGAAAGAAGAGGACCCUUCAGAGGGAAGGAAGCAAGCCAGGAUUCCAGCAGGGCCGAAUCCUGAAUCUUCAGGAGGAGUAAAAGCAGGGAGGAAAGCAGAAGAGUGAGUCAGAUGCAGCAGAAGAAGAGAAAGAAAUGCAGCGUGAGAAGAAUUUGACACAUCCUUGCUGGGUCUGAGAUGUAGCUGACUUUAUGGAAGGACUCUAGAGGUGACUCUAGGAGUGAAGGGCUGACAGCCCGAAGACAACAGGACCUCUGUGCUACAACUACAAGGAACUGGGCUCUGCCAACCACUUGAAUGAGUUUGGGAAUGGAAUCUUCCCAGAGCCUCUAGAAAAGAACCCAGCCUGGUUUACACCUAAAUUUCACUCUUGAGAGACCCUGGACAGAGAACCUGAUGGAGCCACUUGGACUUCUGACCCACGGAACAGUGAUUUUGACCCUUACUGCACAAAAUACGAUUUGUGGACCAGCAGCAUAAGCAUCACCUGGGAGCAUGUUAGGAAUGCAGAACCUUGAGCCACAUCCAGACCUGCUGCGUUUGGACAAGAUGCCCAGCCUCGAUGGCGUGUUUUCCCACCCAGAUCCUCGAUCUUAGCAGCAGCAAGAUUCUCAGUCCCAAUUUUUAUCAACACAAGAUGAUAUCAGGUCCGAUUUCUCCACCCUUAAUUUUUGUUUUCUCUGCUCACUGCUGUGCUAACUAGGCAGUUUUCCUAUUAACUAGUCUUUCAAGCAUCCUGAUUGUGAAAGAUUUAGCUGAAAUGAUGCCUUGAUGUAGCAUUUCAAGAGAUAACAUAUUCCUAAUUAUACUUUCCUGGAGGCAGGAAAAGUUCAGACCCAGAUAGAUGUCUGAACAAAAGCAAAUUGACUGCAGCUCAAGGAAUCUCAUGAGCAAGGCAGGCUACUUGGGGAUUAGUCUAUUGAGCAGAAUCUACCUCUGACGCAUUGAGGAUAUUAGUUUGAUGUGAAAUUGUCCUAGGAUUUCAAGUAUUGUAAACUGCCUACUGAUGGGUUUUUUCACAAUAAACAAUUGGCGUUGCUUAGAUCUUCACAUUUGUAAAAAUAGAAAGCAAGAGUUAGUAAGCUCCUACUAAGAUGAAGAAUCCAGUCCUGUGGUGGUGGAGUUCGUGUUCUGUGUGUGAUGAUUUAAAUGCAUGAACAGAUGCUCGAGGCGCAAUUUGUUGGAAACCACAAUGGAUGCAUUCAAUAAAGACUGUGACUCAAAUGAGUGCUUUUGAGCACUCAGGGAUGGGAGGUGGAGUCAUCAGGGAAAUUUAAAUCAUACUGCAAUCAAAAAUAGAAGUAUUUGUAACUUCUGUUCAUCAAAACACAACAUUAAAGGAGUGAAAAGGCCAGUUAGAGAGUUGGAGAAGGAAGUUGUAACACAUAUCAGAUAAAAGGCUCAU